CAGCAACUCCGGUCUGAAGCGCGGGGCUGGUCCACGCCCUGCGGAAGCUCGACGGAUUCGACGACGACACCGAACGCCGAUUGCAGCGCCCUGACGCGUGCCCCAGUUCAACUCUUAUUUUAUCGACCUCGAGAUCUCAGCGAGAUAAAACCACAACUAUACGGGUACAAGUUCUACAGCUCACCUCCUCUUCGUCUUCCAGCAAGGAGCAGCAGUCAGCAGGAAGCCGAGGAAAAAACCAAGCUGCUUGGAUCUGCAGAGACUCAGGUCGGCCAGAUUGCUCAUUUCGUAGCCAGCAAAUGAAGUUUCCACUCUGAAAACAGGAUCUGUAGAUACUCUUUGUAUUCAGACAUCAAGCUUCAGUCAGUUAUCGACGCUAUUAGUGACUGCAUAAAUGGGAUCCCCAUCACAUGCUGCUUCAGAGCCACAGACAGAAAUGGAGGAGCAGAGUGAAACCGCCACAGAGGUGAGGCAACAAUAGGAGUUGCUACAGGGAGCAACUUCCAACCUCCUCUUGAACUAGCCAUUCCUCUAAUAGAUGCUGCGCUGUCCGUGUCACUUCAAUUUCCACUACGCUUUAACCCCAAGAAGCCGCUUCGUUUCAUACUAGCCAUUGUUGCAGCCACAGUGGCAGCAGUCAUAUGGAGAAGGCCGUUACACCUGAUCUUUGUGUAUUGUGGGCUGAAACUGCCACCAGUACCAGCAUGGAUGCGAGCUAUUAUCAGCUACAUAAACUCACGUUUACCUCCACGCUUGCACCCAUUUAGAUGGCUAUGCAAAACCCUGAUCAAGAACAUAAAACUCUGUGUCAGCUCAGGCACACUUAUAUGGACAGUUAUCUUCAUCAUUUGCUUACCAAAAGGUGAAAGAAACAAGCUUGCAGGUAAGUGUAUCCACAACCUUUCUACUUCAGAUGGUUACUCCUUUACUGCUGACAUUGGCCCACAUUAUCGAAGCUGCAUGGUUCACAUUUGAUCCUGCUUAUUUAAUCGUUUCGUGGCAGUACCUUACUAGCUGGUGCAUGACCCAUUAAGUUGUAAUCUAGCUUCUAUUGGCAGUCGGCCUCCUUUUGAUGGAUAAAUCCAAUCCAUCUAAGAAACCAGCAAUGGAAUUGCUUCAGGUACUCCAGCAACUGCAUGAGCACUACCUGAUGAUGGCAGCAUCUUUUCAAGGUCUACAAUGCUGCUAUCAGACAUGCUCAUCAGCACCACCUAAGCACCGUAGUAGCUGUUUGAUUCACCAGCCCUCUUGGUGUCCAGCUGCAACUAAGUUGUAUUGUAUGCAAGCUUAAUUUGUACUAUAGCCAAUGUUGCUGCUCGGUACUUACCAACAGUCACUUUUGUUGGCCCCUAUCAAUGAACUUAUUAUCGUUCUGCUA